rnacentral:tRNA from 1 species
GGACCCGUAGCUCAGUUGGAUAGAGCACCAGCCUCCUAAGCUGGGUGUCGUGGGUUCGAAUCCCACCGGGUCCG